rnacentral:rRNA from 1 species
AUCGAACGCUGGCGGCAGGCCUAACACAUGCAAGUCGAGCGGAUGAAGGGAGCUUGCUCCUGGACUCAGCGGCGGACGGGUGAGUAAUGCCUAGGAAUCUGCCUGGUAGUGGGGGAUAACGUCCGGAAACGGGCGCUAAUACUGCAUACGUCCUGAGGGAGAAAGUGGGGGAUCUUCGGACCUCUUGCUAACAGAGGAGCAUAGGUCGAAUGAGCUAGUCGGUGGGGUAAAGGCUUACACAGGAGACGAUGCGUAACUGGUCUGAAUGGAAGGUCAGUCACACUGGCACUGAGACACGUCCCAGACUCCUAGAGGAAGCAGCAGUGGGGAAUAUUGGACAAGGGGCGAGAGGCUGAUCCAGCAAUGCCGGGUGUGUGAAGAAGGUCUUAGGAUUGUAAAGCACUUAAGGUUGGGGGGAAGGACAGUAAGUUAAUACCUGGCUAUUUUGACGGUACCAACAGAAUAAGCACCGGCUAACUUCGUG